rnacentral:rRNA from 1 species
GACGAACGCUGGCGGCGUGCCUAAUACAUGCAAGUUGAGCGCUGAAGGUUGGUACUUGUACCAACUGGAUGAGCAGCGAACGGGUGCGUAACGCGUGGGGAAUCUGCCUUUGAGCGGGGGACAACAUUUGGAAACGAAUGCUAAUACCGCAUAAAAACUUUAAACACAAGUUUUAAGUUUGAAAGAUGCAAUUGCAUCACUCAAAGAUGAUCCCGCGUUGUAUUAGCUAGUUGGUGAGGUAAAGGCUCACCAAGGCGAUGAUACAUAGCCGACCUGAGAGGGUGAUCGGCCACAUUGGGACUGAGACACGGCCCAAACUCCUACGGGAGGCAGCAGUAGGGAAUCUUCGGCAAUGGACGAAAGUCUGACCGAGCAACGCCGCGUGAGUGAAGAAGGUUUUCGGAUCGUAAAACUCUGUUGGUAGAGAAGAACGUUGGUGAGAGUGGAAAGCUCAUCAAGUGACGGUAACUACCCAGAAAGGGACGGCUAACUACGUG